rnacentral:rRNA from 1 species
UUGAACGCUGGCGGCAUGCCUUACACAUGCAAGUCGAACGGCAGCACGGGGGCAAUCCUGGUGGCGAGUGGCGAACGGGUGAGUAAUAUAUCGGAACGUGCCCAGUAAUGGGGGAUAGCCCGGCGAAAGCCGGAUUAAUACCGCAUACGACCUUCGGGUGAAAGCGGGGGAUCGCAAGACCUCGCGUUAUUGGAGCGGCCGAUAUCAGAUUAGCUUGUUGGCGGGGUAAAAGCCCACCAAGGCGACGAUCUGUAGCUGGUCUGAGAGGACGACCAGCCACACUGGGACUGAGACACGGCCCAGACUCCUACGGGAGGCAGCAGUGGGGAAUUUUGGACAAUGGGCGCAAGCCUGAUCCAGCCAUGCCGCGUGUGGGAAGAAGGCCUUCGGGUUGUAAACCA